AUGAACAGCCGUAGAGGGCAUCCAUUUCUUUCUUCUUAUGUUCCUCAGAAAGAGUUACUGAAAAAUGCUUGUCCCUUUGCCGAAGUACCUGUACAGUCAUUCCGACAAGCUACUAUCAAUGAGCCAUCCCUUAGUCUUAGUCCAAUAGCUAACUUGGCUGGAGUAAGCGGAAUCGCCAGGAGCGGAAGAUGCUCUACUUCCGAGGAAGUAGAAAGACAGAGGAAAGGCAGUGAAGGUUACCCAGGGUUUGCGUAG